rnacentral:tRNA from 1 species
CCAACCUUAGCUCAAACAGUAAAGAAUCUGCCUGCAAUGCAGGAGACCCCAGGUUCAAUCCCUGGGUUGGG